rnacentral:rRNA from 1 species
UACGUAGGGGGGCAAGCGUUGUCCGGAAUCAUUGGGCGUAAAGAGCGUGUAGGCGGCCCGGUAAGUCCGCUGUGAAAGUCCAGGGCUCAACCCUGGGAUGCCGGUGGAUACUGUCGGGCUCGAGUCCGGAAGAGGAGUGUGGAAUUCCUGGUGUAGCGGUGAAAUGCGCAGAUAUCGGGAGGAACACCGGUGGCGAAGGCGGUUCUCUGGGCCUUACCUGACGCUGAGGAGCGAAAGCGUGGGGAGCGAACAGG